rnacentral:rRNA from 1 species
UACGGAGGGGGCGAGUGUUGUUCGGAAUUACUGGGCGUAAAGGGCGCGCAGGCGGCUUGGCAAGUCGAGUGUGAAAUCCCUUGGCUUAACUGAGGAAUGGCGCUCGAAACUACCUCGCUGGAGGGCGGGAGAGGGAAGUGGAACUCUCGGUGUAGGGGUGAAAUGCGUAGAUAUCGGAAGGAACACCAGUGGCGAAAGCGGCUUCCUGGUCCAGCACCGACGUUCAGGCACGAAAGCGUGGGGAGCAAACAGG